rnacentral:rRNA from 1 species
CAGUAGCCACGGGAAUACGGAGGGAGCUAGCGUUGUUCGGAAUUACUGGGCGUAAAGCGCGCGUAGGCGGUUACUCAAGUCAGAGGUGAAAGCCCGGGGCUCAACCCCGGAACUGCCUUUGAAACUAGGUGACUAGAAUCUUGGAGAGGUCAGUGGAAUUCCGAGUGUAGAGGUGAAAUUCGUAGAUAUUCGGAAGAACACCAGUGGCGAAGGCGACUGACUGGACAAGUAUUGACGCUGAGGUGCGAAAGCGUGGGGAGCAAACAGGAUUAGAUACCCGGGUAGUCCCUGUCUCUUAUAC